AAGUCGUAACAAGGUUUCCGUAGGUGAACCUGCGGAAGGAUCAUUACUGCUUGCUAACGAUCUCGCCUUGGGCAACCAGGUCGGGAUCGGGCACGCUACCCUUGCUUAUAUGUACCAUUGUUACUCCCUCGGCGGGGCGACCUGCCGCUGGGAUCAUGUUAACACCCUUGUAUCAUAGCAUUAAACCUUCUGAAACUAUUUUGAAAUAAUUACAACUUUUAACAAUGGAUCUCUUGGUUCUG
rnacentral:misc_RNA from 1 species